AUUGAACGCUGGCGGCAGGCCUAACACAUGCAAGUCGAACGAGUGGCGGACGGGUGAGUAAUUCCUUGGCACCUGGCUUAUGUAGGGGGAUAACUACUGGAAACUGUAGCUAAUCCCGCUUACCAUCGUAUCUGCCCACGUGGUAUUAGGUAGUUGGUGAGGUAAAGGCUCACCAAGCCGACGAUCCCUAGCUGUUCUGAGAGGAUGACCGGCCAAACUGGAAUGGAGACACGGCCCAUACGCCGACGGGAGGCAGCAGUGGGGAAUAUUGCGCAAUGGGGGCAACUCUGACGCAGCCAUGCCGCGUGAAUGAAGAAGGUCUUCGGGUUGUAAAGUUCUUUCGGUAGCGAGGCGUUAACUACAGAAGAAGCACCGGCUAACUCCGUGCCAGCAGCCGCGGUAAUUC
rnacentral:rRNA from 1 species